CAUUAAGUGGCUGAAAAGUUAAAGCAAUGGUCUCUUAAACCAUAAAAUGAUAUAGUAACAAAUAUCCUUAAUGA
rnacentral:tRNA from 1 species